rnacentral:rRNA from 1 species
CCUACGGGUGGCAGCAGUGAGGAAUAUUGGUCAAUGGACGCAAGUCUGAACCAGCCAUGCCGCGUGCAGGAAGACGGCUCUAUGAGUUGUAAACUGCUUUUGUACGAGGGUAAACGCAGAUACGCGUAUCUGUCUGAAAGUAUCGUACGAAUAAGGAUCGGCUAACUCCGUGCCAGCAGCCGCGGUAAUACGGAGGAUUCAAGCGUUAUCCGGAUUUAUUGGGUUUAAAGGGUGCGUAGGCGGUCUGAUAAGUUAGAGGUGAAAGCCCGCGGCUCAACUGUGGAAUUGCCUCUGAUACUGUUCGGCUAGAGAGUAGUUGCGGUAGGCGGAAUGUAUGGUGUAGCGGUGAAAUGCUUAGAGAUCAUACAGAACACCGAUUGCGAAGGCAGCCUACCAAGCUACUUCUGACGUUGAGGCACGAAAGCGUGGGGAGCAAACAGGAUUAGAUACCCCAGUAGUC